UACGGAGGGAGCUAGCGUUGUUCGGAAUUACUGGGCGUAAAGCGUACGUAGGCGGCUUUGUAAGUAAGAGGUGAAAGCCCAGAGCUCAACUCUGGAAUUGCCUUUUAGACUGCAUCGCUUGAAUCAUGGAGAGGUCAGUGGAAUUCCGAGUGUAGAGGUGAAAUUCGUAGAUAUUCGGAAGAACACCAGUGGCGAAGGCGGCUGACUGGACAUGUAUUGACGCUGAGGUGCGAAAGCGUGGGGAGCAAACAGG
rnacentral:rRNA from 1 species